rnacentral:rRNA from 1 species
GCAAGUCGAGCGGAUGACGGGAGCUUGCUCCUUGAUUCAGCGGCGGACGGGUGAGUAAUGCCUAGGAAUCUGCCUGGUAGUGGGGGACAACGUUUCGAAAGGAACGCUAAUACCGCAUACGUCCUACGGGAGAAAGCAGGGGACCUUCGGGCCUUGCGCUAUCGGAUGAGCCUAGGUCGGAUUAGCUAAUUGGUGAGGUAAUGGCUCACCAAGGCGACGAUCCGUAACUGGUCUGAGAGGAUGAUCAGUCACACUGGAACUGAGACACGGUCCAGACUCCUACAGGAGGCAGCAGUGGGGAAUAUUGGACAAUGGGCGAAAGCCUGAUCCACCCAUGCCGCGUGUGUGAAGAAGGUCUUCGGAUUGUAAAGCACUUUAAGUUGGGAGGAAGGGCAGUAAGCUAAUACCUUUCUGUUUUGACGUUACCGACAGAAUAAGCACCGGCUAACUCUGUGCCAGCAGCCGCGGUAAUACAGAGGGUGCAAGCGUUAAUCGGAAUUACUGGGCGUAAAGCGCGCGUAGGUGGUUCGUUAAGUUGGAUGUGAAAGCCCCGGGCUCAACCUGGGAACUGCAUCCCAAACUGGCGAGCUAGAGUACGGUAGAGGGUGGUGGAAUUUCCUGUGUAGCGGUGAAAUGCGUAGAUAUAGGAAGGAACACCAGUGGCGAAGGCGACCACCUGAACUGAUACUGACACUGAGGUGCGAAAGCGUGAGGAGCAGACAAGAUUAGAUACCCUGAUAGUCCACGCCGUAAACCAUGUCAACUAGCCGUUGGAAUCCUUGAGAUUUUAGUGGCGCAGCUAACGCAUUAAGUUGACCGCCUGGCGGAGUACGGCCGCAAGGUUAAAACUCUAAUGAAUUGACGG